ensembl:lncRNA
CACUGAUUGAGCACCUGGGUAAAGGACCCAACUCAGCCCUGGGUGCACAGGUGAAGGCAAUUCAGCAGUGUGACUGGAAGGGGUGGAGCCUGGCUGCACCUCUCUUAGACCCCAUUUAAGGGCUGACUGCCACUGGGGAAGUAUCUUUCUCUAGAGAUCCCUCUUUAGUGAAGCUUUCCUCUGCAAAUCUGGACUCUUCUGAUAUGGUUGCCAGGAGGAAUGACAUCAUGCACAUCUGUAUAUAGCUGCAAGAGGAAGGUGAAGGUCGGGGAGGAAGGCUCACACCUCCGCACUGGUGGGCUGACACCAGGCACCCACCUCCACCAGACGUGGCUGGAAAGCUGUGCCUGCAUGGAAACUCCUGGAUCAGGUUCUUCAAGGAUGGGCAUAGCCACCUGUAGUGGAAAUGCUGAGUCUUGGCUUAAACCAGUGAUUGAGCACCUGGUAGGAAGGCAGGCCACAGCAGGGGAGCUCAUUACAUGCACCUGAGUGACCAGAAGUGGUGAAGCCAGGAUCCACCCCUUCCCAGACCUCAUUUCAGGGUUGGCAGUGGAGGUGAGGGUAUCUCACUAGAGAUCCCUGCCUAUCAGAAGCCUUUUAAAGUUUGCUUUUAAGGAUCCGUGCCUCCAAGUGGGUUUUGUAUUCCCCUGAAGGCAUGAGAAUUGGAAAUAACUUCUACAAGCCAGCAACAAGGAGAGCAGAUACUCUACCCCCAAGUACCCCUGCUCCACAACUCUGGGCUUUUGUGAAACCUGGACAAGAUACCCAGAAAUUACAAAAGCUUUUGAACUUUUCCAGCUCACUAAAAAGAGCACAGAUGGGGAUUGUUUUUUUUUUCUCAGUUUCUAAAAUUAGUGAAAUUAGAUUCAAUUCCAAACCUGAUAAGCACUCUUCUUCAGCUCUGAUGUUUUUUCAUGACUGUUGUAGAGUUGCUGUUCUUUAAGAAGGCAGGAAAUUGAAUUGUGGUUGGUAUGUGAUGGACAUAGGUGUGCCUGUGCAUUUCUCUUGUUUGCACUGAGCAAAUGUUCAGCAAACAAGGAAAUGUUCUUUCCUUUCUUGGCUCAACCAAAGAGCUCAUGUCUCCCAGUCAUUCUUUAUCCCUUUAAUGCCAUGCAGAUGUCCUCCACGUUGGCUGAAGGGACACACAACCCUUUGUGUAGUGCUUGGAGCAUAGACUGAGUUUGUGGAGAUGCAGAGUUGGGCUUUUGAGCUCUAGCAUAUCUCAAGUAGAACCACAGCAUCAUUAAGGUUGGAAAAGGCCUCUAAGAACAGCUAGUUCAACCAUCUACCUGUCACCCAUGUUGCCCACUAAACCACUUCCAUCAGUGCCACAUCUCCAUGGUUCUUAAACACCUCCAGGGACAGUGACUUCACUACCUUGCUGGGCAGCCUGUGCCAAUGCAUCACCACUCUACUGGAAAAGAUUUUCCUAAUAUCCAACCUGAAAAGUACACACUGAAAAAUUUUUUACACACACACACACACACACACACACACACACACACAUAUUCCCUGUAAUUGUUAGCUUGGCUCCAUGUAAGUAUAUUUUGAUAGGAGCAGUCAAAUGCUUGGCCAUCAGCUCAGGGCAGGCACAUGCCAGCUGUAGAGGUCUUGCUCCAAGGCCCAGAGGCCCUAGUGCUUCUCUGGAAAAUGUCUGUCAGAAUAUUUUAGCCUGGGCUUCACAUUUUCCCUUAAUCUCACUCUCAGAAAUGACGGCACCAUUUUAGCUGUAACUUUCCAAAUCAAAUUCAGCCUGAUGCACGGAAAAAACCUGCACUGACAGUCACAAGCCUGGCAGAGCUGUAGACUGCAGGGUCUCCUGAGAGGAAGACUGGGACAGUGAUAUAGAAUCAUAGAAUGGUCGGGUUGGAAAUGACCUUGAACCCCUUGCCAUGGGCUGGUUCCCACCCACCAGCUCAGGCUGCCCAGGGCCCCAUCCAACCCAGCCUUGAGCACCUCCAGAGAUGAAGAAUCCAGAGCCUGUCUGGGCAGCCUGUGCCAUCACCCCCUCAGUGAAAAUUUCCCCCUGAUAUCUAUGGUGGCAGCCCCAACACUGCAGAAGAGCUACACGCGCCUCCUGAAAGCCAGAGCAGCUUCAUUGGCCCAGAGCCCUCACACCACGAACCUCAAUGCUGCAGGUGCAAAACUACCACUACUUUUCAGCACAAUAACACAAAAGAAUGCAUAUGCAAGAAACUGCCUUUUUGUUGUUUUUUUUUUCCUACAGUUUGAUUAUCCGUCAUGAUAAGACAUUACUUAAAGCAGCGGUGACACUGUCUAAUCAUUCUUGUGAAAUAUAGAGUUCUCUCUCUACUUCAGACAGAGCCGACAUUAAUACACAUUUAUGCAAAGCAGAGCUGGAGCUGUCAGGGGCUAAUCUUUACAAGUAUGAUAAAUGAUGUUUAUUUUCAGUGAUGGAACGAAACACCCGGGCUGACAAUAAUUGUAAUAAAAAGG